rnacentral:rRNA from 1 species
AGUGGCGGACGGGUGAGUAACGCGUGAGAAUCUGCCUUGGGGUCGGGGACAACCACUGGAAACGGUGGCUAAUACCGGAUAAGCCGAUUGGUGAAAGAUUUAUUGCCCGAAGAGGAGCUCGCGUCUGAUUAGCUAGUUGGUGAGGUAAGAGCUCACCAAGGCAGCGAUCAGUAGCUGGUCUGAGAGGACGAUCAGCCACACUGGGACUGAGACACGGCCCAGACUCCUACGGGAGGCAGCAGUGGGGAAUUUUCCGCAAUGGGCGAAAGCCUGACGGAGCAAGACCGCGUGAGGGAGGAAGGCUCUUGGGUUGUAAACCUCUUUUCUCAGGGAAGAAGCUCUGACGGUACCUGAGGAAUCAGCCUCGGCUAACUCCGUGCCAGCAGCCGCGGUAAUACGGAGGAGGCAAGCGUUAUCCGGAAUUAUUGGGCGUAAAGCGUCCGCAGGUGGCGAUUCAAGUCUGCUGUCAAAGCACGGGGCUUAACUCCGUAAAGGCAGUGGAAACUGAAUAGCUAGAGUGCCGUAGGGGUAGAGGGAAUUCCCGGUGUAGCGGUGAAAUGCGUAGAGAUCGGGAAGAACAUCGGUGGCGAAAGCGCUCUACUGGACGGCAACUGACACUCAGGGACGAAAGCUAGGGGAGCGAAUGGGAUUAGAUACUCC